rnacentral:rRNA from 1 species
AAAUUGAAACAACGCAACCGUACUAUCUAUUUACGAUAAUUUGAUUGCUGACAACACGACAACAUCACACUUCUCUUUCUUAUUCUUAUUUAUAUAACUGUCACUUUACCGGGCCGGAAAAGUGACACUGUCACGUCUCAGGGUCGUAUGCCUCGAACAAGAAGGGUCGUCGUACAAUUUCGGCGAUUGCAAAAAAGAAGGAGGCGAGCUCCCCAUCAUCAAAUGAUAUUCCCUUUGCCUGAAGAUACUGGUUAA